GAAGGCCCCACUGUCUUAAGAGAAUUCCCAGUGAAAUUGAAUUCGUAGUGAAGAUGCUACGUCCAAUUUGUUAGACGAAAAGACCCCAUUGAGCUUUACUGGAGACUUACAUUGCUCGGAUCGACUCUCGCCCCCCCCCAUGGCGGGGGGGGGGGGGUCGAAUUUAAAUGGAUAGCUUAGAUUAUGUGGUGUCAUAACUAUCGAUCAAGUAGUCCCUACGGGAUUGCCCCGAAGGUUGACCUGUUUGGGUGAAUGAAACCCCACUCUUUUAUGUUAAAUGAGCUAACCCCUUCUCUCUUAAGGGGGACAAUGUAAGUUGGACAGUUUGGUUGGGGCGACCGCCUUUUAAAGAGUAACGAAGGUGUGCUUAAGGUACACAAUUAAUAUCAGUAGCCUGACUGCGAGGGGGAUUACCCCGAGCAGACACCUAAAGUCUUUUCCCUUCCCCCCGAAGGUUAAAGACGAAUGGUGGGUUAUAGUGACCCGUUAAUUUAGAGUGGAAUAGUUAACGAUCAACAAAUAAAAGUUACCAUGGGGA
rnacentral:rRNA from 2 species